CAGUUCCCUAGAGCAGGCUGCCCAGGUAGGCGUCCAGACAGGGACAGGCCUUGAAUAUCCCCAGAGAAGGAGACCCCACAGCCUCCCUGGGCAGCCUGUCCCAGUGCUCCGUCACCCCCACCAUGAAGAAGUUCUUUCGCGUGUUGGUGCGGAACUGCCUGGGCUCCAUUUUGUGGCCAUUGCCCCUUGUCCUGUCCCCACAGACCACUGGAAAGAGGUUGGCCAAAUCCCUCUGGCUCCCACCCCUCAGGUAUUUAUACACAUUGAGGACAUCCCCUCUCAGUCCUCUCUUCUCCAGGCUGCACAGCCCCAGGUCUCUCAGUCUCUCCUCACAGGGAAGAAGCUCCAGGCCCCGUCUCAUCUUUGUGGCCCUCCGCUGGACUCUUUCCAGGAGAUCCCUGUCUUUUUUGUACCGGGGAGCCCAGUACAAGAAACAUGGGUAAGUGGUGCGAAGGUGCCUCCGUCCGGGCUUGCAGCAUGCACCCGAGGUUGGAGCAGUGCUGGCUGGCCGGGGAGAAAGCAUCUUGGGUGUGGGAUUGGGCUGCGGUGCCAAAUCACCCCCAAAGCCCAUCACAAAGCAAUUUUGGCCACUGCAGAGCCAUUGAGGGGAAGGCAGUCCCUCACCAGGAGCACCACGCUCAGAGAAGAAGCAGAUGCAAGCCCCCAGGAACUGGGAUCUCCUUUAACUCCCCGCCAGCAAAGCGUGGCCCGACACUGUUCUAAAAUGACAACUUUUAACACCAGGAAAACCCACGAGCCCACAUCGCCAAGCUCCUGGCAUCCCAUGGCACGCUUUGGAGGGCGAUGCUGUCUGGUCCAAGUGGGGAACCCACUGGGACGAGACCCAGCCAGGCGCUUCCCCUACAGAAAUAGGUCCCGACCCCAAACACCUCCCCAGGCUGGCGUCACCUUCGUGCCCAAGGGAUGUCCUGGGGUCCCCCCAGCCCCAGCUGCAGUCCCUGCCAGGACCUGCCUGGGGUCCCCCGCCCUAAAAAACAGCUUUGGGACUGAUCCUUCCACACACUGACCCCAAUCACCCCAACCAGCCCUAGCCAGUGGGGCACAGAUCCCUGCACGCCCCCAUGGA
rnacentral:lncRNA from 1 species